rnacentral:lncRNA from 1 species
GGGAAUCUUUGAUAGAUAUAACUGACAUUGAUUUGUGUUGCUGAUUUCGUACGAUGAGUACUUCAGAACACACUGAUUGCUCUGAAUAUCCCAUAUAUUUUCUUUUGCUGGGGGCGAGUUCACAAUAAUAUUGUAAUUGAACAUGAGUUUAGUGUAUAUGAUUAGGAGCACGAAUUGUGAAACGAGAAAACAGACAAACCUACUUGAACAAUGCAAUCUUGUUCAGUGUAGGCAUUUUACCAGAAAGGCAGAAACACCUAAGUUUUUUCAAGAACUGGAAAAGGAUAUUCCAAACAAGGCUUAAAUUGCGGAACUGUGUCA